AACAGGAUUAGAUACCCUGGUAGUCCACGCCGUAAACGAUGUCGACUAGCCGUUGGGCUCCUUGAGAGCUUUGUGGCGCAGUUAACGCGAUAAGUCGACCGCCUGGGGAGUACGGCCGCAAGGUUAAAACUCAAAUGAAUUGACGGGGGCCCGCACAAGCGGUGGAGCAUGUGGUUUAAUUCGAUGCAACGCGAAGAACCUUACCUACCCUUGACAUCGUGCGAACUUUCCAGAGAUGGAUUGGUGCCUUCGGGAGCGCACAGACAGGUGCUGCAUGGCUGUCGUCAGCUCGUGUUGUGAAAUGUUGGGUUAAGUCCCGUAACGAGCGCAACCCUUGUCCUUACUUGCCAGCGAGUCAUGUCGGGAACUCUAAGGAGACUGCCGGUGACAAACCGGAGGAAGGUGGGGACGACGUCAAGUCAUCAUGGCCCUUACGGGUAGGGCUACACACGUGCUACAAUGGCCGGUACAAAGGGUUGCGAAGCCGCGAGGUGGAGCUAAUCCCGAAAAGCUGGUCUCAGUCCGGAUCGGAGUCUGCAACUCGACUCCGUGAAGUCGGAAUCGCUAGUAAUCGUGAAUCAGAAUGUCACGGUGAAUACGUUCCCGGGCCUUGUACACACCGCCCGUCACACCAUGGGAGUGGACUGCACCAGAAGUGGUUAGCCUAACUUCGGAGGGCGAUCACCACGGUGUGGUUCAUGACUGGGGUGAAGUCGUAACAAGGUAACC
rnacentral:rRNA from 1 species